rnacentral:rRNA from 1 species
UACGUAGGGUGCAAGCGUUGUCCGGAAUUAUUGGGCGUAAAGAGCUCGUAGGCGGUCUGUCGCGUCGGCUGUGAAAACCCGGGGCUCAACCCCGGGCCUGCAGUCGAUACGGGCAAGCUAGAGUUCGGCAGGGGAGACUGGAAUUCCUGGUGUAGCGGUGAAAUGCGCAGAUAUCAGGAGGAACACCGGUGGCGAAGGCGGGUCUCUGGGCCGAUACUGACGCUGAGGCGCGAAAGCGUGGGGAGCAAACAGG